GUUUUUAUAGUUGAAUACAACAUUGAUUUUUCAGAUCAAAAGUUUUGGUUAAAAUCCAAAUAAGAAUU
rnacentral:tRNA from 1 species